rnacentral:rRNA from 1 species
UACGUAGGGGGCAAGCGUUGUCCGGAAUCACUGGGCAUAAAGCGCACGUAGGCGGCGGCGUAAGUUGGAUGUGAAAUCCCCCGGCCCAACCGGGGAACUGCGUCCAGUACUGCGUUGCUUGAGGAUCCAAGGGGUGCAUGGAAUUCCCGGUGGAGCGGUGAAAUGCGUUGAUAUCGGGAGGAACUCCGGCGGCGAAAGCGGUGCACUGGUGGAUUACUGACGCUGAGGUGCGAAAGCCAGGGGAGCAAACGGG